UACGUAGGGUGCGAGCGUUAAUCGGAAUUACUGGGCGUAAAGCGUGCGCAGGCGGUAAGUUAAGUCUGAUGUGAAAGCCCCGGGCUCAACCUGGGAAUGGCAUUGGAAACUGGCUUGCUGGAGUGUGGCAGAGGGGGGUGGAAUUCCGCGUGUAGCAGUGAAAUGCGUAGAGAUGCGGAGGAACACCGAUGGCGAAGGCAGCCCCCUGGGCCAACACUGACGCUCAGGCACGAAAGCGUGGGGAGCAAACGGG
rnacentral:rRNA from 1 species